CCCUUAGAUGUUCUGGGCCGCACGCGCGCUACAAUGGCAGACUCAGCGAGUUACCUCUGUCGAAAGGCACAGGGAAUCUUUACAGUAUCUGCCGUGAUGGGGAUAGACCCUUGUAAUUUUUGGUCUUCAACGAGGAAUUCCUAGUAAACGCAAGUCAUUAACUUGCGUUGAUUACGUCCCUGCCCUUUGUACACACCGCCCGUCGCACCUACCGAUUGAAUGGUCCGGUGAAGUCCUCGGACCCAGUUGAACCUCGAGUUGAACAGGGAAAGUUGACUAAAUCUUACCAUUUAGAGGAAGGUGAAGUCGUAACA
rnacentral:rRNA from 1 species